CUGCUCUGGGAAGACAGCGCCUCCCGCCAGGGGAUUCCGCCAACCACCGCUCCCUGCAAUCGGGGUUACCAGUGAUGAUUCUUCCCCCAGCAUCACCCUACGGUGUCUUGGCAGCCUGCCUCCUUCACAGACUGCCUCGAGAGUCCCUCAGAGCUAUUUCCUUAAAGACCAAAUGCGAGCAUAUCUUCACUGACGGGGUUUCAGAGCCUCACUUUGCAAGUUUUGAGGCAGAGGCUCAAACUAAUUUUGCUGAGAAGGACAGGAGAGCUGAGAGAAAAUCAAACAGAACGGCGGCUCUCCUCCCAUUCAUGGCAUGUAAUGCUCUGGGCCCAGCUACAUCUGCCAUGGCCUCCAGGGACCUGCUGGAGGGGUCUCCCAGCCCCACCUGGUAUAAGCCAAGCCUGCUCCAGACUCAGGAUCUGCCCAGAGGGCUGGGAUCUCACAGCCUGAGCGGGGUCCUCGUGACCUGUACCUUGCAAAACCUGUCCUGACAAACUCCUGUCUCAGUCCCAGUCACUCAGGAGUCUGCGGCAGGAAGAUCACUUGAGCCCAGGAGCUCGAGGCUAAAGUGAGCCACGAUUGUACCACUGCACUCCAGCCUGGGCAACAGAGCAAGACCCUGUCUCAAUAAAUAAAUAAUAAAUAAAUAAA
rnacentral:lncRNA from 1 species